GACGAACGCUGGCGGCGUGCUUAACACAUGCAAGUCGAACGGAAAGGCCCUGCUUUUGUGGGGUGCUCGAGUGGCGAACGGGUGAGUAACACGUGAGUAACCUGCCCUUGACUUUGGGAUAACUUCAGGAAACUGGGGCUAAUACCGGAUAGGAGCUCCUGCUGCAUGGUGGGGGUUGGAAAGUUUCGGCGGUUGGGGAUGGACUCGCGGCUUAUGAGCUUGUUGGUGGGGUAGUGGCUUACCAAGGCUUUGACGGGUAGCCGGCCUGAGAGGGUGACCGGGCACCAUGGGACUGAGAUACGGAGCAGACUGCUACGGGACGCAGUAGGGGGGAACAUUACGCAGUGGCCGGGCGUCAGAGGUGGAAGUGCUGCGAGCGGGAUGCUGGCCUACGGGGGGUAAACAGCUUUGUAAGUUGCUGAGCCGGGCGUGACGGUACCGGAUCAGGAAGCACCGGCUAACUACGUG
rnacentral:rRNA from 1 species